GGGCUCCUUCGGGAGCACCGGCGGACUGCUCAGUAACACGUGGACAACCUACCCUCGGGUGGGGGAUAACCUCGGGAAACUGAGGCUAAUACCCCAUAGGCCUCGGAUACUGGAAGGUUCCGAGACCGAAAGCUCCGGCGCCCGAGGAUGGGUCUGCGGCCUAUCAGGUAGUUGGUGGUGUAAAGGACCACCAAGCCUACGACGGGUACGGGCCCUGAGAGGGGGAGCCCGGAGAUGGACUCUGAGACACGAGUCCAGGCCCUACGGGGCGCAGCAGGCGCGAAACCUUCGCAAUGCGCGAAAGCGCGACGAGGGGAGCCCGAGUGCCCUUCCUCUCGGGAGGGCUUUUCUGGAGCCUAAAAAGCUCCAGGAAUAAGGGCUGGGCAAGACGGGUGCCAGCCGCCGCGGUAAUA
rnacentral:rRNA from 1 species